UUUUAGUGAUUUUCCAGUGAUUAUGAUUUUAUGACAAAUAGUCAGCACUAUUUAAACUUACCUCUUCGCAAAUGCUAAGAGAAGUAGAACCACCAGUUAAUCGGUACCAACCAAGAAACGGGUCAAACUCUUUAGUAUAAAAUGAGAUAUAUUUAAACUAACAAUUUUGUAUUAAUAGGAUUGUAUGAUAAAAUAUCAAUCAUAUUAUUAUUGUUGGUAUAAUUAAUAAAUUACUAAAUGAAAAUAAUACAUUUUAACAAAGGAAAUGGAAACAAAUUUUUCACACUGUGAAGUACAUAAAAUAUCUUGUUAAAUGAUCACUCCAAUUUGAAGUUGUGAAAUAUUUUAAUGACAUUUGUUGUCAAAAUAAAAUUUGUAUCUAGUGGCAUGUUGCAUAUCUUCAGAAUAAUUGAAAUGUGUGAAUGUAGUAUAGAUUGAGAUCUAUCCAGCAACAUUUGAAUAUCACAUUACAUUAAAAUAAAUAAAAUCUACACAUUUCCGAUUCUCAGAUUAUUGUGUAAAUAUUAUUGAAUACAAUAAUUAAUAAUCAAUAACUACAUGCAUGA